GUCGAGCGGUAGAGAGAAGCUUGCUUCUCUUGAGAGCGGCGGACGGGUGAGUAAUGCCUAGGAAUCUGCCUGGUAGUGGGGGAUAACGUUCGGAAACGGACGCUAAUACCGCAUACGUCCUACGGGAGAAAGCAGGGGACCUUCGGGCCUUGCGCUAUCAGAUGAGCCUAGGUCGGAUUAGCUAGUUGGUGGGGUAAUGGCUCACCAAGGCGACGAUCCGUAACUGGUCUGAGAGGAUGAUCAGUCACACUGGAACUGAGACACGGUCCAGACUCCUACGGGAGGCAGCAGUGGGGAAUAUUGGACAAUGGGCGAAAGCCUGAUCCAGCCAUGCCGCGUGUGUGAAGAAGGUCUUCGGAUUGUAAAGCACUUUAAGUUGGGAGGAAGGGUUGUAGAUUAAUACUCUGCAAUUUUGACGUUACCGACAGAAUAAGCACCGGCUAACUCUGUGCCAGCAGCCGCGGUAAUACAGAGGGUGCAAGCGUUAAUCGGAAUUACUGGGCGUAAAGCGCGCGUAGGUGGUUUGUUAAGUUGGAUGUGAAAUCCCCGGGCUCAACCUGGGAACUGCAUUCAAAACUGACUGACUAGAGUAUGGUAGAGGGUGGUGGAAUUUCCUGUGUAGCG
rnacentral:rRNA from 1 species